GAAAUGCGAUAAGUAAUGUGAAUUGCAGAAUUCAGUGAAUCAUCGAAUCUUUGAACGCACCUUGCGCUCCUUGGUAUUCCGAGGAGCAUGCCUGUUUGAGUGUCAUUAAUAUAUAUAUCAACCCUCUCUUUGUUGAGUGGUUUGGAUGUGGGGGUUUGCUGGCCUCUUAAAUGGUUCAGCUCCCCUGAAAUGCAUUAGCAGAACAACCCUGUUCAUUGGUGUGAUAACUAUCUACGCUAUUGAAUGUGAAGGGAAGUUCAGCUUUCUAACUGUCUUUGGACAAUUCAUCAUUAAUGUGACCUCAAAUCAGGUAGGACUACCCGCUGAACUUAAGCAUAUCAAUAAGCGGAGGAAAAGAAACU
rnacentral:rRNA from 1 species